UACGGGAGGGGCAAGCGUUGUUCGGAAUUACUGGGCGUAAAGGGCUCGUAGGUGGCCAACUAAGUCAGACGUGAAAUCCCUCGGCUUAACCGGGGAACUGCGUCUGAUACUGGAUGGCUUGAGUUUGGGAGAGGGAUGCGGAAUUCCAGGUGUAGCGGUGAAAUGCGUAGAUAUCUGGAGGAGCACCGGUGGCGAAGGCGGCAUCCUGGACCAACACUGACACUGAGGAGCGAAAGCCAGGGGAGCAAACGGG
rnacentral:rRNA from 1 species